GUUGAAAAUGCAAUAUCUUUGAUUUAAAGAGAGAGAGAGAGAGAAAGUUUUCUAUUGAGUGUGCCAUUGAUGGUGAGGAGUUAUUCAGCUGUGCAAGACAUAAAUGUCUUGGCCUAGCAUUGUGUCUUUUGAAUAGGAGGCAUAGCAAUACACCUAAUUGGGUGUUAUACAUUGUAUGUGGAUUGCUAGUGUACAGAGAGUGGACACACCUCAACUUGAACGCCAUGAGGAAAGGAGAGUUGGUUCUGGCUGCUCUGAAAACGCAGUUGAAGAUAAUUUGUCUUUUUUGAACUUGCUAAUAUUAUGCAAGAACUACUAAUUUUUCUUAUCCAAGGGCAGAAGAGUUAGCCUGUUACAUCAGUGUAAACUUAACAAUUUUUCAAGCCUGUGAAACUCAAGCCAUCGAUGGCACGUGAUGUUGGGACUUAGGACGAAAUACAUAAUCUGGAUGACUGAGUUGGCGGUUUGAACUACAUCGAAGUCAAGUCACCCGCACGGCAGUUCCAAACCUUCGAUUUAAAGGCAGACUGUCAUCAAUCGUUGAACCGGUGAGCUGUAUAAAAGCCAGAUAAUGCUUGAAAUGAAACUGUUAUACAGAGAAAAGAUGUCAGUUGAAGAAAACCUGAACUGAGACGUUAUAACUCUUUGAUUGUCAGUUAAGACAAUGUUUUUUUGUUUUAUUUUUUCGUCGAUGCUUUCAUUGUUGAAGGGCGAGUGGCCCAGGCCAGAAGGCCUAUAUAUUCGAGUUCGUGCACUGAACAAAUUGUAGAAGUUGAUUGUAGAAGUUAAUUGUAGUGUGUGUGUGUGUAUUUGAGUUUUAUCAGACGUGUAUCAAUCAGAUAUGAUUAUUUACGUCUGGGACCGACCUUUAACGUCACCGUCCGAAAGACGUGACCAGGGCUCGAACCUCGAACCUCUGCAUCAAUUUGUAACUUCCCCACAGCUUGGAUUACAGGCGCACGCCACAACGCCCAGUUAAAGAAGUAGAAGUUGAUUGUAGAAGGUGAUUGUAGAAGUUGAUUGUAGAAGUUGAUUGUAUGAGUUAAAACUCGACACAGUUCUGGUGUCCGUUUCAACUCGUUUAUUGACCGGUAUAGAGAACUUAUGAUAUUCGAAUUGAGAGUUGACUAACAGUAUAGGAUGGUAUAUGAGAAAUAUUACAUACUAAAGUGAUAUCCAAACAUACAAAAAUUAUAUGCCAAGUGGUGAAGGAUAGAUAGGCUAAUUCAGGGCCUAAUCCCAUCAUUGUUGGAGUGAGGUAUAUGUAUGGAUAGUGAGACAUUAUAUUCACUUAAUGCUAAUUGUGCUAAAUAAACGCUGAUGAUUGUUCUUUAUGCUAAA